rnacentral:rRNA from 1 species
AUUGAACGCUGGCGGCAUGCCUAACACAUGCAAGUCGAACGAGUGGCGGACGGGUGAGUAAUGUCUGGGAAACUGCCUGAUGGAGGGGGCUAACUACUGGAAACCGUAGCUAAUACCGCAUACUAUCGGAUCUGCCCACAGGGGAUUAGCUAGUAGGUGGGGUAAAGGCUCACCUAGGCGACGAUCCCUAGCUGGUCUGAGAGGAUGACCAGCCACACUGGAACUGAGACACGGUCCAGACUCCUACGGGAGGCAGCAGUGGGGAAUAUUGGACAAUGGGCGCAAGCCUGAUCCAGCCAUGCCGCGUGUAUGAAGAAGGCCUUCGGGUUGUAAAGUACUUUCGGCAGAGAAGCGGUAUCUGCAGAAGAAGCACCGGCUAACUACGUGCCAGCAGCCGCGGUAAUUC